GACGAACGCUGGCGGCGCGCUUAACACAUGCAAGUCGAACGGAAAGGCCUGCUUUCCCUUGUGGAUUGCGGGUACUCGAGUGGCGAACGGGUGAGUAACACGUGAGUGAUCUGCCCCCAACUUGGGUAUAAGCCUGGGAAACUGGGUCUAAUUCCCGAUAGGACUGCAGGGUGGUGCCUGUGGUGGAAAACGAUUUUCUAGUGGUUGGGGAUGAGCUCGCGGCCUAUCAGCUUGUUGGUGGGGUAAUGGCCUACCAAGGCGGCGACGGGUAGCCGGCCUGAGAGGGUGGACGGCGACAUUGGGACUGGGAUCCGGCCCAGACUCCUACGGGAGGCAGCAGUGGGGAAUAUUGCACAAUGGGCGGAAGCCUGAUGCAGCGACGCCGCGUGGGGGAUGACGGCCUUCGGGUUGUAAACUCCUUUCGACCGCGAGGAAGCCACCUGGUUGGAAGGGUGGUGACGGUAGUGGUAGAAGAAGCACCGGCUAACUACGUG
rnacentral:rRNA from 1 species